GAUGAACGCUGGCGGCGUGCUUAACACAUGCAAGUCGAACGGAAAGGCUCCUGCUUGCAGGGGUACUCGAGUGGCGAACGGGUGAGUAACACGUGGGUGAUCUGCCCUGCACCUCGGGAUAAGCCUGGGAAACUGGGUCUAAUACCGGAUAGGACCACAUUUUGGAUGGUGUGGUGGAAAGUUUUUCGGUGUGGGAUGAGCUCGCGGCCUAUCAGCUUGUUGGUGGGGUAAUGGCCUACCAAGGCGUCGACGGGUAGCCGGCCUGAGAGGGUGUACGGCCACAUUGGGACUGAGAUACGGCCCAGACUCCUACGGGAGGCAGCAGUGGGGAAUAUUGCACAAUGGGCGCAAGCCUGAUGCAGCGACGCCGCGUGGGGGAUGACGGCCUUCGGGUUGUAAACUCCUUUCACUAGGGACGAAGCGCAAGUGACGGUACCUGGAGAAGAAGCACCGGCUAACUACGUG
rnacentral:rRNA from 1 species